GGCAAAUAUAGCAAAAAACAGGAAAUUUCCUAAGCUCACACGAAGCACUGCCUGCAUUUGAAACCAUUCCUCUGGUUGUGCCUCAGUUUUUAUCCAUGGAAUCUUCUCCAUCAGAGGAGCUCCAAACUCUCUGAGAAUCCAUGAAACGACCAAGGAGACGCCGAAAAGGCCACAGUAAGCAAGUCUAGCGGAGCUUCUUGAGAUGCUGGCGGCAACGGAGGAGCAGAGACCGCACGUGAGAGAUGCACAGCACGAAAACAAGCAGGACAUUGCUUAGCUCUUCUUGACCUCGAGAAUUAUGGAUGAUGUUCUUCUGCUUGUUCUUGUCUUGCAGAGAUGAGAGAAG
rnacentral:misc_RNA from 1 species